AGUGAACGCUGGCGGUAGGCCUAACACAUGCAAGUCGAACGGCAGCACAGUAAGAGCUUGCUCUUACGGGUGGCGAGUGGCGGACGGGUGAGGAAUACAUCGGAAUCUACUUUUUCGUGGGGGAUAACGUAGGGAAACUUACGCUAAUACCGCAUACGACCUACGGGUGAAAGCAGGGGAUCUUCGGACCUUGCGCGAUUGAAUGGGCCGAUGUCGGAUUAGCUAGUUGGCGGGGUAAAGGCCCACCAAGACGACGAUCCGUAGCUGGUCUGAGAGGAUGAUCAGCCACACUGGAACUGAGACACGGUCCAGACUCCUACGGGAGGCAGCAGUGGGGAAUAUUGGACAAUGGGCGCAAGCCUGAUCCAGCCAUACCGCGUGGGUGAAGAAGGCCUUCGGGUUGUAAAGCCCUUUUGUUGGGAAAGAAAAGCAGCAGGUUAAUACCCCGCUGUUCUGACGGUACCCAAAGAAUAAGCACCGGCUAACUUCGUG
rnacentral:rRNA from 1 species